rfam:Schistosoma margrebowiei strain Zambia genome assembly, scaffold: SMRZ_scaffold0002012
AUCCAGCUGACGAGUCCCAAAUAGGACGAAACGCGCGUUCUGCAU